UACGAAGGGGGCUAGCGUUGUUCGGAAUUACUGGGCGUAAAGCGUGCGCAGGCGGUUCGCUAAGACAGAUGUGAAAUCCCCGGGCUUAACCUGGGAACUGCAUUUGUGACUGGCGGGCUAGAGUAUGGCAGAGGGGGGUAGAAUUCCACGUGUAGCAGUGAAAUGCGUAGAGAUGUGGAGGAAUACCGAUGGCGAAGGCAGCCCCCUGGGCCAAUACGUGACGCUCAUGCACGAAAGCGUGGGGAGCAAACAGG
rnacentral:rRNA from 1 species